CCUACGGGAGGCAGCAGUGAGGAAUAUUGGUCAAUGGACGAGAGUCUGAACCAGCCAAGUAGCGUGAAGGAUGACUGCCCUAUGGGUUGUAAACUUCUUUUAUAUGGGAAUAAAACAGGGUAUGCAUACCCUCUUGUAUGUACCCUAUGAAUAAGGAUCGGCUAACUCCGUGCCCGCAGCCGCGGUAAUACGGAGUAUCCGAGCGUUAUCCGGAUUUAUUGGGUUUAAAGGGAGCGUAGGUGGAUUGUUAAGUCAGUUGGGAAAGUUUGCGGCUCAAACGUAAAAUUGCAGUUGAAACUGGCAGUCUUGAGUACAGUAGAGGUGGGCGGAAUUCGUGGUGUAGCGGUGAAAUGCUUAGAUAUCACGAAGAACUCCGAUUGCGAAGGCAGCUCACUGGACUGCAACUGACACUGAUGCUCGAAAGUGUGGGUAUCAAACAGGAUUAGAUACCCUGGUAGGC
rnacentral:rRNA from 1 species